rnacentral:misc_RNA from 1 species
GAUGAAGAACGUAGCGAAAUGCGAUAAGUAAUGUGAAUUGCAGAAUUCAGUGAAUCAUCGAAUCUUUGAACGCACAUUGCGCCCGCCAGUAUUCUGGCGGGCAUGCCUGUUCGAGCGUCAUUUCAACCCUCAAGCCCAGCUUGGUGUUGGGGAUCGGCACAGGCGCCCUCGGGCGCCCGCCGUCCCCUAAAUCUAGUGGCGGUCCCGCUGCAGCCUCCUCUGCGUAGUAGUUUUCUCCUCGCAAGGGCAGCUCGGUGGCGACCUCGCCGUAAAACCCCCAACUUCUGAAAGGUUGACCUCGAAUCAGGUAGGAAUACCCGCUGAACUUAAGCAUAUCAAUAAGCGGACGA